UUCGCAGCCUCUCCCCACUACCCUCCACCUCCCGGACAACAACCCCCUUCCUCCUCACGUCAGAGAGCUUCUGCCAGCCGCGUUUUUGCCACUGGGAGUGUUGCAACUGGAGGGCCAUACAGCCCUGAACUGGGGAGGCGUGUGAAGGGGUUGGGAAGCUUCUCGCGACCCGGGGAUUGGAGAACACGACGGAAUUCAGAACAGAACCUUUUUGUGUAUAUGCAAAAUGUAGGAGCUAUCCAAAAAAGAGACCUCUCCGAUGUGGCAGCUCCCUUACCCCCAACCCACACACCUUCCCAUGCAUCCACACAGCUGCAUUCAUGGACAUAAAACCAAUCCAGUGACGCCAAAGCCCUUUUCAUCUUAGGAUCUUCCAGGUCGGGCAGAACUCUAAUUACCCCAGCCCCCCACUCUGGCCCUGCCGGUUCCCCUGCUGUCAUUAGCCCAGUUUUACCAGCGGAGGCCAUUGCCUUCCCACGGCUCUCUAGGGUGGGGCCCCUCUUCCCCUACUCCCUUCUCAUGAGGAAGUGGGGGUGCAGUUUAGUCGAUCACCUAAUCUACAUUUGGAAAAUCUUUCUGACCAACAACAUCCUGGAUGAAUCUCUCCUCUGAAGAAAUAAUUCUCUCACAAUGAAAUUUUCUUGGGGGCUUGUCUUUCAUGAAGAUUUACCCUCCAGAUCUCUCAUAGGAUCAGGAGGAUGGAGAGAAAACAAUCUUCCAACUGUGUGAUGCAGUGAUCAUAACAUCACAGUUUUAAAGCUGGAGGGUCUCAUCUACUCUUUGUAGAAAUUACUCUAUCCAAAGCAAUCCUAGUAGACUUUGGACAGAAAAUGCCAUCUGCAUCCAGAAAAAGAACUAAGGAGAUUGAAUGUAAA